rnacentral:rRNA from 1 species
AUUACCGCGGCUGCUGGCACAGAGUUAGCCGGUGCUUAUUCUGUCGGUAACGUCAAAACAGCAAGGUAUUAACUUACUGCCCUUCCUCCCAACUUAAAGUGCUUUACAAUCCGAAGACCUUCUUCACACACGCGGCAUGGCUGGAUCAGGCUUUCGCCCAUUGUCCAAUAUUCCCCACUGCUGCCUCCCGUAGGAGU